CAAACAGGAUUAGACACCCUGGUAGUCCACGCCCUAAACGAUGCGAACUAGGUGUUGGAGAAGGAGAUUCUUUAGUACCGCAGCUAACGCGUGAAGUUCGCCGCCUGGGGAGUACGGUCGCAAGAUUAAAACUCAAAGGAAUUGACGGGGACCCGCACAAGCGGUGGAUGAUGUGGAUUAAUUCGAUGCAACGCGAAAAACCUUACCUACCCUUGACAUGCCUCGAAUCCUGGAGAGAUCUGGGAGUGCUCGAAAGAGAGCGAGGACACAGGUGCUGCGUGGCUGUCGUCAGCUCGUGUCGUGAGAUGUUGGGUUAAGUCCCGCAACGAGCGCAACCCUUGUCAUUAAUUGCCAUCAUUGAGUUGGGCACUUUAAUGAGACUGCCGGUGACAAACCGGAGGAAGGUGGGGAUGACGUCAAGUCCUCAUGGCCCUUAUGGGUAGGGCUUCACACGUCAUACAAUGGUCGGUACAGAGGGUUGCCAAGCCGCGAGGUGGAGCCAAUCCCACAAAGCCGAUCGUAGUCCGGAUCGUAGUCUGCAACUCGACUACGUGAGGUCGGAAUCGCUAGUAAUCGUGGAUCAGCAUGCCACGGUGAAUACGUUCCCGGGUCUUGUACACACCGCCCGUCACACCAUGGGAGUGGGUUUCACCAGGAGUAGGUAGUCUAACCGCAAGGGGGGCGCUUACCACGGUGGGAUUCAUGACUGGGGUGAAGUCGUAACAAGGUAACCGUAAAGGGCGA
rnacentral:rRNA from 1 species